rnacentral:rRNA from 1 species
AACGAACGCUGGCGGCAUGCCUAACACAUGCAAGUCGAACGAGAUCUUCGGGUCUAGUGGCGCACGGGUGCGUAACGCGUGGGAAUCUGCCCUUUGGUUCGGAAUAACAGAUGGAAACGACUGCUAAUACCGGAUGAUGACGAAAGUCCAAAGAUUUAUCGCCAGAGGAUGAGCCCGCGUAGGAUUAGCUAGUUGGUGUGGUAAAGGCGCACCAAGGCGACGAUCCUUAGCUGGUCUGAGAGGAUGAUCAGCCACACUGGGACUGAGACACGGCCCAGACUCCUACGGGAGGCAGCAGUGGGGAAUAUUGGACAAUGGGCGAAAGCCUGAUCCAGCAAUGCCGCGUGAGCGAUGAAGGCCUUAGGGUUGUAAAGCUCUUUUACCCGGGAUGAUAAUGACAGUACCGGGAGAAUAAGCUCCGGCUAACUCCGUGCCAGCCGCCGCAGUAA